UACGGGGGGGGCAAGCGUUGUUCGGAAUUACUGGGCGUAAAGGGUCCGUAGGUGGCUUGCUAAGUCAGACGUGAAAUCCCUCGGCUUAACCGGGGAACUGCGUCUGAGACUGGCGAGCUUGAGUGCAGGAGAGGAACGCGGAAUUCCAGGUGUAGCGGUGAAAUGCGUAGAUAUCUGGAGGAACACCGGUGGCGAAGGCGGCGUUCUGGACUGUAACUGACACUGGAAAGACGAAAGCCAGGGAGCAAAGCGGG
rnacentral:rRNA from 1 species